rnacentral:misc_RNA from 1 species
AAGUCGUAACAAGGUUUCCGUAGGUGAACCUGCGGAAGGAUCAUUAACACAAUCCUUUUCCAAUUAUCAAAACCUUGGCGCACUUGUCUUUGUUGAGCCUGUUGAGAGAAGGCCGGUUUGGCAAUGGUGAGAGCCAAAUUUCAUUUGGCUUGCCUGCCGCGCUGUUCAUCCAUUCACUCAGUGAGUGAGGUGAAGCUUCGACUCUUCAGGUCAUCACAGCCCCUUACCAUGGCUGGCCUCUUUUUUUUUCUUUCUUUUAAACCUUUUUGUUUUUUGUACUGAAUUGGGCGGAAAGCUGGAUUGAGAAGCAUUCAUUCAUUGAUUGCUUUUCUCUAGCGGACAGUCCUUGGAUGAGUCUCAUGGAUUCAUUUCUAAAACUUAAACUAAAACACAACUCUUAACAGCGGAUAUCUCGGUUCUC